UAAAUAGUGACUGAAAAAGUAUUUAGUUGUUACCUAAAAUAAUGAAUUAUUUCCUAUUUAA
rnacentral:tRNA from 1 species